GAGAGGCAGAUCAUUUCCAGAGCUAGUGGAUGCCCAGUGUUUAUAGCAUUCACCCCAUGCCAGGCGUGUGACAGGGCUUUUGUACAUGUGAUCUCACUUAAGUCUCAAAACAUACCUGUGGUUAGGCCUAUUUUAUGGAGAGCUACGAGCUAGUUAGAAGUGUGAUACCAUUUUACAGAUGAGGAAUCAUUUCACUCACUGUGAAGUGCAAAGAUUUCCCAGAGGUCUCAUAGCUGAAGUGGGAGAGGUGUGAUGUGAGCCCUUGGCCAACCUUGGCCUCAGAUCGUCUUGUCAAGGAGAAACUGGAGGAGUGGCUUUUGUCUGUGAGCAUAUACUCUGCCCAGCCCUGUGCUUUGGGCUUUAUAUGGUAUUUGUGUCCUUUUUUGCAGAGUCCGAAAUUGAAGUUCAGAGGAAGAAUUGCCUUCCACCGCAUCUUAUCAGACCCUAUGGGUGCCAGGGUGUGUGCUGGGAGAAGAAGACAGCAAGAGAGCCAUGCAGGGGGUGACACAGCUACCAGGGACCUGCGUUAGCUAGCAGCAGGACGGUGAAGUCGGUUCUAGCUCUGCGACCUUGGACCACACUGUUCACUCCCAUACAGUGGUCUCAGAAGGACGUCCACCUUGGGCUGUUGUGAGGAUUAAAUGAAUUAAUCCAC
rnacentral:lncRNA from 10 species